AUGUUAUUAACCCAAAAUCACACACAUAUCAGCCACUUUUAAUCAGGGUGCUAGCGAUAGUCGAUUAAAAGGAUAUGUGGAGGCAAAAC
rnacentral:sRNA from 1 species